AUGACCCGGGCCGUUUGGCUUGCUCCCAUGGAGAAGAGCUGGGAUGCUCUGUGGCCCCUGGGAGGAGAGCGAGAAGGGGCAAGGAUGAGGUCAAGGACACCAGGACCUCUACCCAGAGAGGUGUUAAAUUUUAGGAUUGUAACUUACAUUUCCUUGACGAUGGGUAGUGAACAAAUUUGGCUAUCAAAAUACACAUAA
rnacentral:lncRNA from 1 species